AGCUGGUCUGAAUGCAGUGGUCUUUACAACUAAUUGAUCACAACCAGUAACAAAUUGCUUUGUUCCUUCUCCACUCUCACAGCUUCACUUGACUAGCCUUAU
ensembl:misc_RNA Y_RNA Y RNA